rnacentral:lncRNA from 1 species
GAUUCAAAUGUGUGGAAGAUUGUAAAAAAAACAAAUGCUAAGAGUAAUAUUGCAAUGAUUCAUAGCAUACCGAAUGGUAUUUAUUUAUUUAAAUUUUAUCAUCAUAUUUUAUUAAUUCAUUUUUUGAAAUUUAUAAAUACUUAUAUUUUUAUUUUUACAUUGUAGGUACUCAUGCGUGUGGUGCAAAGAUACCUUCGUUAAUUCUGCUGGAAAAAAGGGAAUUGCUAAAACACAUGUAAGGUUUAUUAUGCAUGAUUCAUCAUCUAACGAAUGUGUAUUAUUUAUUUAAAAUUUUUAUCUAUAUUUUAUUUUAUCAUUUUUUGUUUGAAUUAUAUCUUAUUAUUUAUUUUUCUUUGUUGGUUCUCAUGCGUGGUGCAAACAUACCUUCCGUAUUCUUUGAGUCUUGCAACACUAUCAGUUCAAGUUUGAAUAAAUUUAUUUUAAUUAAGAAUUUCAGCAUUUUUUGUUUUUAUAAUCACUAUAUUGAAGGAUGUAUUUUUAUCUUCUAGGUUGGUUAUUUGUUGAUGUUAUUUAAUAACGGUUGUGUUAAACUCUUUCGAUAUACAACUUUUUUUAAUAAUUAAUUUGAUAGUGUUUCAUGAUUUUAAUUAUUUUUUUAAUGUGUUGCGUAAUGUAAUGUUUAGCACAAGAUUUAUAGGCAUCUCCAUUAGGGUCUUAUAAAUAAAUUCAUUGGACCUGGCCUUAUUUAAACUAUAUUUAUGGUGAAAAUAAUUCUAUAUUUCACUAUUUAUCCAUAACGAGGAAAUGUCACUUACAUCUUUCUUAUUUUUAACGUUUUUAAUGCUUUUACUUUAAGCUUAGGCCCUUCUAAAGGAUAUGCAAACUAGACGUUUCUCAGUCCAAAUAAUUGAAAGCAUUUAAAAUCAUAAUUUUUAAAAUAAGAGUAGUAAUCUUCAAAAAAUUAUUUCAAUAAAUUAUUAAUUGAAUCAACUUUAUUAAUAAUUAAAAACUAAUGUUUUGAAUUACAAUGAUGUAUUUUCAAUUAGUUUGAGGAAUUUAAAAGAUUAUUCAUAUUUGAAAUUCUUAUUUUUACUUAAAAUAGUAAUAAAGUAGNNNNNNNNNNNNNNNNNNNNNNNNNAAAUGUUUCCACUUACAUCUUUCUAUGUUUUUUUUUUUAAACGUUUUCUUAAUAGCUUUUUUUACUUUAAAGCUUUAAGACCUUCUAAGGGAUAAUGCAAACUAAGACAGUUGUCUCAGUCCCAAAAUAAAUAUAAGCAUUAAAAUCUAAUAUUUUUAAAAAAUAAAGUAAGUAAAUCUUUCCCAAAACAAUUAAUUUCAAUAAUUUUAAAUAGAUCAACUUUAUUAAUAAUUAAAAAUAAAAUGUUUUGAAUUAACAAUGAUGUAUUUUAAUUAGUUUGAGGAAUUUAAAAGAAUUUUAUUCAUCUUUGGAAAUUCCGCUUAUUUUAUUAAAAAGUAACAAUAAUCCUAAGACUCUAUUUUAACAUAUAAAUCCAUAUUACAAUUAUUUUUGAUCCUGCGUGUAGAAUAUGAUAAUUAAAUAUCUACCCAAUAUAAUAUUCUUAAUAAUUUUGGAUUUCACAUAUUUUUAAUAUUGACACGUUAUAAUCUAAAAUUAAUUUUUGAUAUUUCUUAAUAAAAAUUAUAAUGCAAUGUAGAAUAAGUAAGAACGAUAUUACCUCACUUAAAGAUUAUAAAUAAAAUAAUCACAGAUUCUGUUUCAUAUUCCAAAGUUUAAAUAAUUUUAAUUAAUUGAUAUGAUUAGUGAUUUUUUAAUUAUUUAAUCUGUCUUAUAACCAAAUCAAAGAAUAAAAAUUAGCACUAUCUAAACUUGUUAUUAGAGUGAUUGUUUUAACCCUAGACGCCAAAAUUAGACAAAAUAAACAAAAUAUAAAUUUGACAUUCUUCGUCUUGUUAAAUUGAAUUUGAUUUAAAUAAAAAAUCAAAUACUUCUAAUAUAUCCAUUUACAAGUGAGAUAUUGGUUAAAAUAUAUAUAUAUAUAUAUACUAAUAUAUAUAUAUAUUAUAUAUAUAUAUAUAUAUAUAUAUUAUACUAUAAUAUGAAGAGAGAGAGAGAGAGAGAGAGAGAUUCAAAUUUAUUCUAAAACAUAUGUGUAUAUCAUUUUUAGGGACUUACAUCCAACGAUGAGGAAAAUCGUUCCAAGUUCACUAGAUGUUAUAAUCUUGUAAAAUGAUGAAAUCCACGCAAGGCAAUUGUGAUAGUUAAGUACUAGGUAGCCUAAAAAAUAGUUUUGCUUCCUUUAAUACAUUUAUAUUAUUACAUUUCUCCUCCGCCUUUUUUGUACAGUAAGACAUAGAUGCAUUUUAAAAACAAAUUUGGCCUGAUGUUUAUCACUAAUAUGAAGUAAGAACAUGUGUUUUUCCGAAAUAUUUCAAGCCUAAAAUAAAUUAAAGAACUUAAGAUUUUAAACAUUAUGUUCUUAAAUUUUUGUUAAAAAUACGAUACCACGAAACCUUGUCUGUAUGAUUAUUGUUAUAUAAACAUUUCAAAUGUAUAAACAGAAUAUUAUUUUCAAAUUUUCAUAUAUGUUGAAUCUUUAAUAGUAAAACUAGUUAAAAGUUUUAUAUUAUAAUCAAUUAAUAAGGAUAAAAUUAGAAAAAUUAAAAUAUUUUUUUAUUUUUUUCAUAAAUCCGUUUUUAAUGGAAGUUAUGUUAAUGGUUAAAUAAAAUAUAUUGCUAAUUUAUUAAAUUUAUUUCAUAAAAAAUUCUUUGCAACAUUUCAUAUAUUGGCAUUCUACAAUGAAAUAUAUCUUUAUUCUAUAUUUUUUAGAGAUAGGUAAUUUAAAAUAUUUCAAUAUGGCCCAUAUAACGAUACUUUAUUAAGGGAAUAAAUCAUAUCCUCCACAAUAUAUAAGUGAGCAUAAAUGACACAGAAGCGAAUUUUCAACCACUGCAUUUAUAAUUUAUUUUCCACAAUUAAUCAUACAAGAAAAUAUAUGCGUUAUUUAAUCUGAAUCUCUCUCAUAUAUUUAUAAUAUAUAAUGCAUUAUAUGUAUUUAUGAAAAUAUAAAAAUUUGAAGAAAAAUUAACUAUGAUAAAUGAAAAUGUUAGUGAUGAAAACAUCUUAGAGUAGUGUUUUUGAAAAAGCUUCAAGUAUCACAAAGAACUUGCAAAAUACACAAAAAUCUUAUUUGCUCUAAGAAUUUAAUUGGAUUCAAGCCAUGAAUAAUAUGGGUGUGGUGAUAGUGAAUGAUCAAGGUUUAUAUUGGAUCGGAGUGAAUGCAUCUCUAACACUCAGAAUUUAAGGUCAAUGAGCUACCUGGACCUUUGUGUGAAGCAAAGUGUGAUUUGUUUGUGCAGAGUGGUAAUUAUUGAAGAAGAUUCAAGGUGUGGAAGAUUUGGUGAACAAAAUAAAUGUAUAGAGUAAGAUAUUGCAAUGAUCUAUUAGCAUAUACCGAAUGGAUGUAUUGAUUUAAAUUUAUCAUCAUCAUUUUUAAUUCAUUUUUGAAAUUUAUUCAAUAUCGUAUAUUUUUAUUUUACAUUGUAGCGUACUCAUCGUACUGGGUUGCAAGAUCACCUUUACGUUCUUAAUUCUUUGGUCUUUUGCAACAACAUCUACAGUUCAAGUGAAUAAAUCUUAUUGUAAUUAAGAAUCUUCAUGGCAAUGUUUGUUUUUACUAAUUCACUAUAUUGAAGGAUUUAUUUUAUUUAUUUCUAGGUUGGUUAAUUUGUAUCAUUGCUGUAAUAACUAUGUUGUUUAAAUACUGCUUUCGAUGAUUACAACACUAGUUUUUUUUAAAUAAAUUAAAUUGAUAGUGUUACUAUCGAUUUUUAGUAUCGACGUUUCUAAAUUGCUGUUGCGUAAUGUAAGUAUUAGCACAUUUAUAGGAGAUCUCCAUUAGGGUCUUAUAAUACCGUAAAAUUCAUUGUUGACUGACUUUAAUGUAAACUAUAUUUUAUGGUUGGAAAAUAAUUCUAUUUUUUACCAUAUUAUUACAAUAACGAGGGAAAUGUCACUAACAGUCUUUCAAUAUUUUUUUAACGUUUUCUUAAUAGCUUUUACUUAAGGCUUACGGCCCUUCUAAAGGAUAUGCAAACUAAGACAGUUGUCUCAGUCCAAAUUAAUAUUAAAGCAUUUUAAAAUCUAAUUAUUUUAUGUAAAUUCUUCCAACCAAUUAUUUCACAUAAUUUUUAAAAUUGAUUAACUUUAUAAUAAUAAAAAAUAAAAUGUUUUGACAUUAACCAAAUGAUUAUUAUUCAAUUAAGUUUGAGGAAUUUUAAAAGAAUUAUUCAUUAUUUGAGAAUUCUUAUUGUUUAUUAAAAGUAACCAUAAUCUAAGGACCCGUAUUUUAAAUAUAAAUACAUAUUAACUUAUUUUUGAUCCAGCGUGUUAAUGAUGAAAAUUAAAUAUCUACCCGAGUAAAAUUCUUAAUAUUAUUGAUUUCAACAUAUCUUUUAAUAUUGACAGCACGUGUACUAAUCUCUAUAAAUUAUUUCUGAUAUUUCUUAAUAUAAAUUAUACGCAAAUGUAAGACUAAUUGUCAAGAACGAUUUACCACUUAAAAGAUUUGAUACAAUAAAAUCAAUUUAUAAUUCUGGUUCAUAUUUCCCAUAAGUUUAAUAAAUAAUUAAUGACUUGAUAUGAUUAUCGUCAUAUUUUUACAUAUUUAAUUGUCUUUAACACAAUAAAGAAAAAAAUUAGCAAUCUGACUUGUCUAUUAAGAGUGGAUUGUUUACCUAGAUGCCAAGAAUUAGACAAAAAUAAAACAUAUGGAUAAUUUGACAUUCUUCGUCUUGUUAAAUUGAAUUCUGAUUUAAAUAAAAAUACCAAUCACUUUUAAUUAAUAUUCCAUUUACCAAAGUUGAGCGUGAUAAUUGCGGUAUAAAAAAAGAUUAUAAUAUAUAUAUAAAUAUAUAAUAUAUAUAUAUAUAUAAUAUAUAGAGAGAGAGAGAGCAGAGAGAUGGAGAGAGAGAGAGAGAGCAUUCAAUUGAUUCUAAAAUAUGUGAUAUCAGUUUUUAGGGACUUCAAUCCAACGAUGAGAGAAAAUUCUCGGUCCAGUUCGAUAGUGUUCAAGUUAUCUUUAAAAACUGAUGAAAUCCACCAGCAAUUUUUGAGAUUAGUCUUAGGUCAAGCCUAAAAAACAAUAAGGUUUUGUUUUUCCAUUUAAUACAUUUAUAUUUACAUUUCUCUUCCCCCUUUUUUUGUUACGUAGAAUUAGAUCUCAUGUGUGUGAAACAAAUUUUGGCCUAUUUUAUCACUAAUAUAACGUAAGACAUGUGUUUUUCCGAAAAAUAUUUUCAAGCCUAAAAUAAAUGUAAGAACUAAAGAUUGUUAAAACAUUAUGUUCUUAAAUUUUUUUUAAAAAUACCAUACCACGAAACCUUGUUGUGAUGUAUUUUUAUUAUAAACAUUUCAAAAUGUAUUAGAAAUCAAUAUAUUUUCAAAUUUUCAUAUAGUUGAAUCUUUAAUAGUUAAUACUUAGUUUAAAAUUUAUAUUAUAAAUCAAUAAAAGGAUUAAAAAAUUAAAAAAUUAAAACUAAUAUUUUUUUAUUUUUUCUAAUCCGUUUUAAUUGGGGAGUUAUGUUAAUGGUUAAAGUAAAAUAUAUUGCUAAAUAUUUAUUAAAAUUAUUCAUAAAAAAAUUCUUGCAACCAUGUCAUAGUAUAUGGCAUUUACAAGAAAUAUUAUAUUUUUUUAAGCGAUGUUAAAUUUUUAAAAAUAUUUCAAUUAUAGCCAAUUCCGUUUUUGGAGGGAAAAAACAGUUAUCGGACAAUAUAUAAUAAUUAAGCAUAGGAUGAAUCAAGUCGGAUGUUGUCCCAUCAUCUUGAAUAUUUUAAUUUUCCACAUUAACAUACAAAUAAUAAUUAAUAGUAUUUAAUGGAAAUUUUCAUAUAUUUAUAAUAAAUGCCAUUAUAGUUUAAUUUAUUGAACAUAUUACAAAUUUAAGAAAAUUAACUAUAAAGUAAAGUUUAGUGAUGAAACAUACAUUCUUCAGAUAUAUGUUCUUUGGAAAAUCUCAUCAAUACCAAUUGAGAUCAGAAAUAUCACAAAGUUUAAAAAUGUUAACUUAUCACUUUGGCUCUUUAGAUAAUAAUUCCGGCAUUCAAGCCAUGAAAAUAUGGUUGUGGUGAUAUUGAUGAUAAUUGUUAUUGGAUCGGAAGUUGAAUGCUACUUCUUAAACUCUCAAGGAAUUUUAAGUCAAUGAAGCUACCUGACCUUUGUGUGAACAAAGUGUGAUUUUGUUUGUGCAGAGUUGGUUAAAGUUGACAGAAAGUUCAAAUUGUGUGGAAGAUUGUAAAAAAUAAAAUGCUAAGAGUAUAUUGCAAUGAUUCAUAAACAUAACGAAUGGUAUUUAUUUAUUAAAUUUUAUCAUCAUAUUUAUUUAAUUCAUUUUUGGAAAUUAUAAAAUACUUAUAUUUUAUUUUUACAUUGUAGGGUACUCAUGCGUGUGGUGCAACAUACCUUCGUUAAUUCUUU